rnacentral:rRNA from 1 species
AUUGAACGCUGGCGGCAUGUCUUUCACAUGCAAGUCGAACGGCAGCGGGGGAGAAGCUUGCUUUUCCUGCCGGCGAGUGGCGAACGGGUGAGUAAUACAUCGGAACGUGCCCUGUAGUGGGGGAUAACUAGUCGAAAGAUUAGCUAAUACCGCAUACGACCUGAGGGUGAAAGUGGGGGACCGCAAGGCCUCAUGCUAUAGGAGCGGCCGAUGUCUGAUUAGCUAGUUGGUGGGGUAAAGGCCUACCAAGGCGACGAUCAGUAGCUGGUCUGAGAGGACGAUCAGCCACACUGGGACUGAGACACGGCCCAGACUCCUACGGGAGGCAGCAGUGGGGAAUUUUGGACAAUGGGCGAAAGCCUGAUCCAGCAAUGCCGCGUGUGUGAAGAAGGCCUUCGGGUUGUAAAGCACUUUUGUCCGGAAAGAAAUGGCUCUGGUUAAUACCUGGGGUCGAUGACGGUACCGGAAGAAUAAGGACCGGCUAACUACGUGCCAGCCGCCGCAGUAA